CAGAAAUGAAGACGCAACAAAGCAACCGGGAACGAUCAAGGUCACCAAACCGACCGUCAUUUCCGAACUAACAAAUGUUCUUUGUCUGAAAAGUUGAAACAGGUUUAAUCCAAGACAACCGUGCAAGAAGCAGGUGUCUCCCAAAGAAAAAGGUACAUGGGUACAAGAAACAUUUCGGCAAUAAGGAAUUCACUCGAAAGGUAAGUUUCCACGAGACUCCCUUUUAUCUUCUACAAAAACAAGAAAAUUCAAAAAAAGAGGUCGGUUAGUAUUCUCGAACUUUGUCCCCAGCCAGUCAGCAUUAGGGUUUUAAAUCCUAAACUGAACUUUUUCCAUUUAGUCAGCAUUAGGGUUUUAAACCCUAAACUGAACUUUUUCCUUUAAUCAGCAUUAGGGUUUUAAACCCUAAACUGAACUUUUUCUUUUAGUCAGCAUUAAGGUUUUAAACCCUAAACUGAACUUUUCCUUUCGGUCAGCAUUAGGGUUUUAAACCCUAAACUGAACUUUUCCUUUAAUCAGCAUUAGGGUUUUAAACCUUAAACUGAAUUUUUUCAUUCAGUCAGCAUUAGGGUUUUAAACCCUAAACUGAACUUUUCCAGCCAGUCAGCGUUAGGGUUUUAAACCCUAAACUGAACUUUUUCCUUUAAUCAGUAUUGGGGUUUUAAACCCUAAACUGAACUUUUUCCUUUAGUCAGCAUUAGGGUUUUAAACCCUAAACUGAACUUUUUCCUUUAAUCAGCAUUAGGUUUUAAACCCUAAACUGAACUUUUUCCUUUCAGUCAGCAUUAGGGUUUUAAACCCUAAACUGAACUUUUUCCUUUCAGUCAGCGUUAGGGUUUUAAACCCUAAAGUGAACUUUUCCUUUCAGUCAGCAUUAGGGUUUUAAACCCUAAAACUGAACUCUUUCCCUUUAAUCAGCAUUAGGGUUUUAAACCCUAAACUGCACUUUUUCCUUUAAUCAGCAUUAGGGUUUUAAACCCUAAACUGAACUUUUUCCUUUCAGUCAGCAUUAGGGUUUUAAACCCUAAACUGAACUUUUUCCUUUCAGUCAGCAUUAGGGUUUUAAACCCUAAACUGAACUUUUUCCUUUAGUCAGCAUUAGGGUUUUAAACCCUAAACUGAACUUUUUCCUUUAGUCAGCAUUAGGGUUUUUAAACCCUAAACUGAACUUUUUCCUUUUGUCAGCAUUAGGGUUUUAAACCUUAAACUGAAUUUUUCCAUUCAGUCAGCAUUAGGGUUUUAAACCCUAAACUGAACUUUUCCAGCCAGGCAGCGUUAGGG
rnacentral:lncRNA from 1 species